rnacentral:rRNA from 1 species
AUUGAACGCUGGCGGCAGGCCUAACACAUGCAAGUCGAGCGAGCGGCGGACGGGUGAGUAAUGUCUGGGAACCUGCCUGAUGGCGGGGGAUAACUACUGGAAACGGUAGCUAAUACCGCAUACCAUCAGAUGUGCCCAGACGGGAUUAGCUGGUCGGUGGGGUAACGGCUCACAUAGGCGAGGAUCCCUAGCUGGUCUGCGAGGAUGACCAGCCACACUGGAACUGAGACACGGUCCAGACUCCUACGGGAGGCAGCAGUGGGGAAUAUUGCACAAUGGGCGCAAGCCUGAUGCAGCCAUGCCGCGUGUGUGAAGAAGGCCUUCGGGUUGUAAAGCACUUUCAGCGGGGAGGCGUUACCCGCAGAAGAAGCACCGGCUAACUCCGUGCCAGCAGCCGCGGUAAUAC